rnacentral:lncRNA from 1 species
GCCCCCAUGCCUGAAGGCAGCCUGCAUCCAUUCAGGCAUGACCAGGAAGGAGCGGGACUCUGCCCUGAAAAAGGUGAGGGAGGGGCCUUACACAGCAAGAUGGGUAGGGACAGAAGGCAGGCCCUCGAUGAUGCUCCUGACCUUGCCGUCCUCAGGUUCAGGCGGCCCAGGUGCACGUUCUGAUGCUGUCACCCGAGGCACUGGUUGGGGCUGCGGCAGGGACCCCUGGCUCCCUCCCUCAGCUGCCUCCCGUUGCCUUUGCCUGUGUCGACGAGGCCCACUGCCUGUCCCAAUGGUCCCACAACUUCCGGCCCUGCUACCUGCGUGUCUGCAAGGUGAGCCUUCUUUGGGGUACAAGCGAAGGGGCAAGGCAGGGUGGGUGGGGCACCUUCACUGGCUCCUCUCCCACACAGGUGCUGCGGGAACACAUGGGUGUCCGCUGCUUUCUGGGUCUUACGGCCACGGCUACGCACAGCACCUCAAGAGACAUGGCUCAGCAUCUAGGCGUGGCUGAGGAGCAUGUCCUCAGAGGGCCAGUCACCAUCCCCACCAACCUGUACCUCUCUGUGUCCACGGACAGGAACCCAGACCAGGUGAGUGGACACACCGGGGCCUGGCAGAGGCACUGCCUCUGACAGCCCGUGCUGACCGCUGUCGCCCACCAGGCUUUGGUGACACUGCUGCAGAGUGAUCGUUUUCGCGACCUGAACUCUGUCAUCGUCUACUGCAACAGACGCGAAGACACGGAGCGCAUUGCUGCGCUGCUCCGCACCUGCCUGUGUGAGGCCUGGGACCUGGGGCCUAGAGGGGAGGUCAGCAGGGCUGUGCCCCACGGACCUGCCACAGGAACACGUUCUACCCAACUGUCUGUGUCUUCUCUGCAGGCCAGGCCCCGGAAGCUGUGGCCGAAGCCUACCACGCCGGCAUGUGUGCCCGGGAGCGGCGGCGGGUGCAGCAGGCCUUCAUGGAGGGCCGGCUGCGGGUGGUGGUGGCCACAGUGGCCUUCGGGAUGGGGCUGGACCGGCCAGAUGUGCGGGCCGUGCUGCACCUGGGGCUGCCCCCCAGCUUUGAGAGCUACGUGCAGGCUGUGGGCCGGGCUGGACGGGACGGCCAGCCCGCACACUGCCACCUCUUUCUACAGCCCCAGGUUCUUACUUGCCCCACUUGAGCUCCCCCCACCCCACCCCACCCCACCGCCCCACGUUUACAGCUAUUCUUUCGCAGGGUCAGGACCUGCGGGAGUUGCGUAGACACGUGCAUGCCGAGGCCUCCGACUUCCUUGCCGUGAAGAAGCUGGUACAGUGCUCGUUCCCACCCUGCACCUGCACCCAUGCCCAACAGCCCCCAGAGCAGGAGGGAGCCAAGAGCCAAGAGAGGCCUGUGACCGUGUCCCCGAGCGAGGCCGAGCAAGCCAGCAACAAAGGCCUAGCCCAGUGCCUGGGUCAUGAGCGGGCACUCCCAGUGCAGCCGCUGGUGCAGGCCCUGGACAUGCCUGAG